rnacentral:rRNA from 1 species
GGAAUCUUCCACAAUGGACGAAAGUCUGAUGGAGCAACGCCGCGUGAGCGGAGAAGGUUUUCGGAUCGUAAAGCUCUGUUGUGAGGGAAGAACAAGUACGAGAGUAACUGCUCGUACCUUGACGGUACCUCAUUAGAAAGCCACGGCUAACUACGUGCCAGCAGCCGCGGUAAUACGUAGGUGGCAAGCGUUGUCCGGAAUUAUUGGGCGUAAAGCGCGCGCAGGCGGUCCUUUAAGUCUGAUGUGAAAGCCCACGGCUCAACCGUGGAAGGUCAUUGGAAACUGGAGGACUUGAGUACAGAAGAGGAAAGCGGAAUUCCACGUGUAGCGGUGAAAUGCGUAGAGAUGUGGAGGAACACCAGUGGCGAAGGCGGCUUUCUGGUCUGUAACUGACGCUGAGGCGCGAAAGCGUGGGGAGCAAA